rnacentral:rRNA from 1 species
AGAUUAAGUUAUUAAGGGCGCACGGUGGAUGCCUUGGCACUAGAAGCCGAUGAAGGACGUUACUAACGACGAUAUGCUUUGGGGAGCUGUAAGUAAGCUUUGAUCCAGAGAUUUCCGAAUGGGGAAACCCAGCAUGAGUUAUGUCAUGUUAUCGAUAUGUGAAUACAUAGCAUAUCAGAAGGCACACCCGGAGAACUGAAACAUCUUAGUACCCGGAGGAAGAGAAAGAAAAUUCGAUUCCCUUAGUAGCGGCGAGCGAAACGGGAAGAGCCCAAACCAACAAGCUUGCUUGUUGGGGUUGUAGGACACUCUAUACGGAGUUACAAAGGACGACAUUAGACGAAUCAUCUGGAAAGAUGAAUCAAAGAAGGUAAUAAUCCUGUAGUCGAAAAUGUUGUCUCUCUUGAGUGGAUCCUGAGUACGACGGAGCACGUGAAAUUCCGUCGGAAUCUGGGAGGACCAUCUCCUAAGGCUAAAUACUCUCUAGUGACCGAUAGUGAACCAGUACCGUGAGGGAAAGGUGAAAAGCACCCCGGAAGGGGAGUGAAAUAGAACCUGAAACCGUGUGCUUACAAGUAGUCAGAGCCCGUUAAUGGGUGAUGGCGUGCCUUUUGUAGAAUGAACCGGCGAGUUACGAUUUGAUGCAAGGUUAAGCAGUAAAUGUGGAGCCGUAGCGAAAGCGAGUCUGAAUAGGGCGUUUAGUAUUUGGUCGUAGACCCGAAACCAGGUGAUCUACCCUUGGUCAGGUUGAAGUUCAGGUAACACUGAAUGGAGGACCGAACCGACUUACGUUGAAAAGUGAGCGGAUGAACUGAGGGUAGCGGAGAAAUUCCAAUCGAACCUGGAGAUAGCUGGUUCUCUCCGAAAUAGCUUUAGGGCUAGCCUCAAGUGAUGAUUAUUGGAGGUAGAGCACUGUUUGGACGAGGGGCCCCUCUCGGGUUACCGAAUUCAGACAAACUCCGAAUGCCAAUUAAUUUAACUUGGGAGUCAG